rnacentral:lncRNA from 1 species
AAUAUCAGUCUUUUAGUGGACUGUUUCCCUGAGUUGUGAACUUUACAACAAGUAUUGCUCCAAUAGUAUAGCUUUGUUCUCUUUUGGUGGGACGGGAAGAAUAAAGGAGGCUAGAUUGGGAGAAAUGCCCUUCUCUCAGGUGGAGUAAGGCUCUGAUAGAGUCUUUUCAGCUGGAGAGCAAGCUUUUGUUCUGGAGAGCACUCUGGGCUUAUUUCGUAAUUACCCGUCUCUUCCUCCUGCCAGAGCCAAGACAGAAUCUUCCUUGACUCCUCACCAAAAGAUCCUAAUGGGUUUCCUAGAGGUAGAAUUAGCAAACGUAUGAGAUGCCCCCUAAAACUGAAGCCCCUGGAGUUUCUUGCUGUCAUGUUAGUUUAUACUCAGUUGCCAGCAAUUUGUUGAAAUUACUAUUCAAGUCUUCCCACCAUUUUAUGGUUCCCGUGACUUCUGCUCCAGAGAAGGAGAAAGUGAAGAGGAUAUAAAUGAGCAGAGAGGACUUUGAGAACAGCAAUUUGAAAGGCUAGAGAAGAAAGACCUGCAAAGGAGAAUAAGAGUCUUUAUUGCAGGUACUUUUUGAGGAGCACGGGGAAAACAAGCCACAUCAUGAAGCACACGUCGAUGGAGGCAACUGCGUUCUGAGCGAGAAGUUUAAUAUUAAAAAGCAAAGAAGCUAAGGACCUGGCAUUUGAGAAGGAACAACUUCCUGGCUAAAAGUUAUUGCUGAACACAUGACAUUUUAUUUGUAAUUAGGAGAAAGAGAUAUUCUUGGGCUUUUUAGGAAACCUUGUCAUGCUGACGUAUGGCAUUAGCCAGGCUGUGGUAUAUGGAGAAUGUACUCUCAGUUCAAUAUCAAGAGUUUAUCAGUUGAUGUAACAAAAUUGUCAUGCAUAAUUAGGCUUUAAAAACCUCAACUACAUGCUCCCUACCUCAGUCUUCUCAACAGUCCCAAAGGAGUGGAGUAUGAAAUGAACCCAGGCGCUGUCAUGCUGCAUGGGCUUAGAUGUUGCUACAGCUGAUUAAGCAGUUUGUGAUCAGUGGGUGUCAACAUAGUUUGUCAUGCCAGAGAGAUGGUCCCAAGUAACUCACAGCUCCAGAAGCCCCGAGUUUGCCUUCCUCUCCUUUUUUUUUUCAAGAAAGUCAACAACAGUUUUCAACACUACAGUAUUGUAACUUCUUUCUUCUUUUUAGAUUUCAUUCUAUAUUCUUGGAGAACUUUGAAGAACUUCAUAUAUAAUAAGACUAUUAGCAAUGACCAUGA